GACAGGGAGUGCGAUGUAGUGUCCACAACUAAAGAAUCAUGAAAAGACAUGUAUCCCAAAAGCUUGAUGGUGUACUUACUACAUGCACAUGCUAAAAGAAAGGAACAAGGUGGGUAGAUAACUAAGUGUGUCAUUGUGGCAAAGUAUUUAUAAACUAAAAAUCUGCUCUCUUAAACGUUUCGUUCAUUUUUGUUCUAUUAUCUAUACAAUAGGCCAUAAUUGAUUUUGGCCCAAUAAGCCUGACAUAUUCCCAUGUUCAAGAAGCUUUCUGUUUUGAUUGGGUUAUUUUACCUAAAAACCUUUUAAGCCUUCCUAUAGAAAAUAAAAAUAGACACUUCUCACCCACUCCAUCUAGCCUUUUUGUCUUCCUUUUUCCUUAACUAGGUUUAUGCUAAUUCCACCAGUCUAUUCUAUUCAUGUAUUCCCUCCUUCUCCACCAUUCGCCCUCCCUCCCUCCCUCUCUCUGUCUCAGAGAAGGCAGGGCUGCAGGGAGUCUCAGUAGGAUUAUCAGACUAGGGCUAGGCUCUCUGCAGCUCUGUGAUAUGUGUGUUUCCGGCAGAGUCAGACAGAGGGCUGUGUCUGCUCUUUGCUGCUGCAGCCUCCAGUGGACAGGAUCCCUGCCAUGUUCUGACAGAGAGAGAAAGGCUUUCUCAGCUGCUGCGCUGUGGCUGGCCAUCUCUGACCACUGGCUCUGCAGCCUGAGGAGAGGAGAUGAGUUCAUUCCUAAAACUGCUGCUCACUCCAUUCAUAUACUAAACAUGGCUGAAAUCCACGGCCGUGUCUGAAUACCCAUACUUGCGUCCUAAAUAGUAGGCUGUAAAAAAAUAAAGUUUCAUAGUAUGUGACAUUUCGAAAAAUCAAAUAUACUUUUAAAUGCCUGGAUGUCAUACUCUGACAACAGAUGAUAAUCAGCUGUAAAUUAGAUAUGGUGAUGCCCUACUGAAAUGAGUGAAUAGCGGGAACAACGCAUUCUCAGUAUGCGAAAAUAUAAAUCAUUAAAGCUAAUUUACAAAAUAAACCCAGAAUGCAAUUAUGUCAUUCAUUUGAAAUGGUUUUGUAUGUGCAUUUUUCAAAAUGGAGUAUGCUUUAAAUGCCAGGAUGUUAUACUAAUUUCGGCUUUUGAUCUAGUAUAAUUCGCUGCACACUUUCUGUGAAUUUCACAGCCACAAUGCAUUGGAAGAGGGGGGCUGUGAGUUAUGAGUAAACAACAAAACAACUUGGAAGAUGGAGAAUAGCGAAGCUUCUCCGGUGGUGUUCAAAUGUAAGUAUUUUUUGUUCUCAACAUGAUCACAACUAUUGAAAACAGAUAUGCUGCCUGCCAUGCCUUUAGCUAGCUACGUGCUUUAGUAGGUCUAGAAGUUAUAACUGUUAGAACAGUAACGUUAGCUACAGGGUUACUUGCUGUUGAGCAACAACUUCAUAUUUAACGUUAGCUAGCUAGCUGCUACUUGUUGUAAAUACCACUAGCUAUAACGUUAGUAACGCAGUAGCCUACAUUGCUAUUUUCCACAGCGGUGCUGGUCCCAACAACGGCGGUUCAUCUGUGUUGAGCUGAUUGUAGUGUUCAUGCCACGCAAUAUUAGUUUCUACCUGAACGGUUACUGCCUGAAUGGGUCUAGUUUCAUUGCACACAAACUUUUAUGGUGUAAAUAAUGGUAAGCUACACUCGUUACAGUUUCACCUUGGCACUCCAAUUUGAUAAAGGAUGUGGCAGUCUAGCUAUCUACAGAAAGUUCACACAACUCUACUUUGCUCAUUUUUUGGUUAAUGUUUUAUUUCAUCGUAUGUAUUUUCAGGAUUUACGUGGAGUGUGAGCUGAAGGGGCAGCUGUCACCUGCAUGGGUGAAAAAGAAGUGGGAGAACCUUAAGCAAAAACACACGGAGUUGAAAGCUCCCCCCACCGGAGACAGCACUGAGGGAGGGGAGGCCACAGCUGCGUCCAAGAAGUGGUAUGCGGAGAUGGAUGAGCCGCUGGGGGGCUGCCACUCCAUCACCCAACCGGUCAUCUCCACAUCCUCCCAAGCUGUGGGCUCCUCUCCCUCCCAGAAAGGUCCAGAUGUGGAGUCUGGAGAAGGAGCGGGAGAAGGAGGUGACUGCCAAGGAGGCAUGUCUUAUGGCCCUUUUAGAGGCCAUGAAGUAGUUUUAUGUAUUUUGUGUAUAUUUAAUUUAGCUAUUCAUUUUCUAAUGUUUUUGGUGAAGUCCUUUUUUUGUGGAUUUCAGUUUUUUCAUUGAAAUGUGUUUCUUGUUUGUAAUAAACAUUUUCAUUUGAUAGCAGGA